rnacentral:rRNA from 1 species
CGGGAAUUUUGGGCAAUGGGCGAAAGCCUGACCCAGCAACGCCGCGUGAGGGAUGAAGUAUUUCGGUAUGUAAACCUCGAAAGAAUGGGAAGAAUAAAUGACGGUACCAUUUAUAAGCUCCGGCUAACUACGUGCCAGCAGCCGCGGUAAUACGUAGGGAGCAAGCGUUGUUCGGACUUACUGGGCGUAAAGGGCGCGUAGGCGGCGCGGUAAGUCACUUGUGAAAUCUCUGAGCUUAACUCAGAACGGCCAGGUGAUACUGCUGUGCUAGAUUGCGGAAGAGGCAACCGGAAUUCUUGGUGUAGCGGUGAAAUGCGUAGAUAUCAAGAGGAACACCUGAGGCGAAGGCGGGUUGCUGGGCCGACACUGACGCUGAUGCGCGAAAGCCAGGGGAGCAAACG